rnacentral:rRNA from 1 species
CAGUAGCCGCGGGAAUACCAGCAGCCCAAGUGGUGGUCGCGAUUAUUGGGCCUAAAGCGCUCGUAGCCGGGCCGGUAAGUCCCUUGUGAAAUCGGACGGCCUAACCGUUCGGCGUGCAAGGGAUACUGACGGUCUUGAGGCCGGGAGACGUCCGAGGUACUCCGGGGGUAGCGGUGAAAUGUUCUGAUCCUCGGGGGACCACCGGUGGCGAAGGCGUUCGACGAGAACGGGCCUGACGGUGAGGGGCGAAGGCUAGGGGAGCAAACGGGAUUAGAUACCCCCGUAGCCCUGUCUCUUAUAC